rnacentral:rRNA from 1 species
GUGGCUCUGAGUGCUUAUUGCACCACAUGUGUUUUUCUUUGAAACAAACUUGCUUUGGCGGUGGGCCCAGCCUGCCGCCAGAGGUCUAAACUUACAACCAAUUUUUUAUCAACUUGUCACACCAGAUUAUUACUAAUAGUCAAAACUUUCAACAACGGAUCUCUUGGUUCUCGCAUCGAUGAAGAACGCAGCGAAAUGCGAUACGUAAUAUGAAUUGCAGAUAUUCGUGAAUCAUCGAAUCUUUGAACGCACAUUGCGCCCUCUGGUAUUCCGGAGGGCAUGCCUGUUUGAGCGUCGUUUCUCCCUCAAACCGCUGGGUUUGGUGUUGAGCAAUACGACUUGGGUUUGCUUGAAAGACGGUAGUGGUAAGGCGGGAUCGCUUUGACAAUGGCUUAGGUCUAACCAAAAACAUUGCUUGCGGCGGUAACGUCUACCACGUAUAUCUUCAAACUUUGACCUCAAAUCAGGUAGGACUACCCGCUGAACUUAAGCAUAUCAAAAGCGGGGAGGAA